CAUCUUUCUGCUGCUGGCAGAUAAAUCGCAAUACCAUGGCUGGAUCUGGCUUCCCUGGAGUCACUGGGCGUAAUGCAGUACACAUUCCAGACAGGACACCAAUUCAUCACGGGUCCUUGGCUAUUAGUUAGUGGAAUGCAGAUUACUACAUUUAAUUCUUUUUGUAUUUUUUGUUAUUUAUGAUACUAUUAAAUAAAUGAAAUAUAGUAAA